GGAUCAACUAUGGUGCAGCAGCUAUGGAUUGGGAAUCCAUGGAUUCAGAAGCAGUGUCUCGACCUGACCAGAAAGAGAAGUGAAUCAGUUGGGGAAGUGGUAGAGUACCAGUUGUCGAUCAACCGGUCUUACCUCAGGAGUCGACAUAGGAGGAGUGUUUUACCUCUCACAGAAAGGAAUUAAUCUAUUAACAGGCUUUGCAUUGCAACUGGGAAUUCAAAAAAAUCCCUUAUUUUAGUCCUAAAUCAAUACCUAUCCUAUCAUACGAUAUUUGUCUUUCUUUAGUUCUGGAGGUUUCAAAACUGGAAGUUGAGAAGCAAGGUA
rnacentral:lncRNA from 1 species